rnacentral:rRNA from 1 species
UACAGAGGGUGCGAGCGUUGUUCGGAAUUAUUGGGCGUAAAGGGCGCGUAGGCGGUGCCACAAGUCACUUGUGAAAUCCCCAGGCUUAACCUGGGGCCUGCAGGCGAAACUGUGGUGCUGGAGUGUGGGAGAGGUGCGUGGAAUUCCCGGUGUAGCGGUGAAAUUCGUAGAUAUUGGGAAGAACACCGGUGGCGAAGGCGGCGCUCUGGACCGCAACUGACGCUGAGACGCGAAAGCGUGGGGAGCAAACAGG